GACAGAGGGGGCAAGCGUUGCUCGGAAUUACUGGGCGUAAAGGGCGCGUAGGCGGGAUGGCAAGUCGGUCGUGAAAUCCCUCGGCUCAACUGAGGAGCGUCGAUCGAAACUGCCGUUCUUGAGGGUUGCAGAGGAGACUGGAAUUCCCGGUGUAGCGGUGAAAUGUGUAGAGAUCGGGAGGAACACCGGUGGCGAAGGCGGGUCUCUGGACAGUUCCUGACGCUGAGGCACGAAGGCCAGGGGAGCAAACGGG
rnacentral:rRNA from 1 species